UAGCGUUAUUCGGAAUUACUGGGCGUAAAGCGCACGUAGGCGGACUGGAAAGUUGGGGGUGAAAUCCCGGGGCUCAACCUCGGAACUGCCUUCAAAACUCCCAGUCUUGAGUUCGAGAGAGGUGAGUGGAAUUCCGAGUGUAGAGGUGAAAUUCGUAGAUAUUCGGAGGAACACCAGUGGCGAAGGCGGCUCACUGGCUCGAUACUGACGCUGAGGUGCGAAAGCGUGGGGAGC
rnacentral:rRNA from 1 species